UACGUAGGGUGCGAGCGUUGUCCGGAAUUACUGGGCGUAAAGAGCUCGUAGGUGGUUUGUCGCGUUGUUCGUGAAAACUCACAGCUCAACUGUGGGCGUGCGGGCGAUACGGGCAGACUGGAGUACUGCAGGGGAGACUGGAAUUCCUGGUGUAGCGGUGGAAUGCGCAGAUAUCAGGAGGAACACCGGUGGCGAAGGCGGGUCGCUGGGACGUUACUGACACUGAGGCGCGAAAGCGUGGGGAGCGAACAGG
rnacentral:rRNA from 1 species